UGCGCAGGCGGGCUUGUAAGUCAGUGGUGGAAUACUGCCGCUCAACGGUAGAACUGCCAUUGAUACUGCAAGUCUUGAAUAUGGUUGAGGUAGGCGGAAUGUGUCGUGUAGCGGUGAAAUGCAUAGAUAUGACACAGAACGCCAAUUGCGAAGGCAGCUUACUAAGCCAUUAUUGACGCUGAGGCACGAAAGCGUGGGGAGCGAACAGGAUUAGAUACCCUGGUAGUCC
rnacentral:rRNA from 1 species